GUUUCUCGGAUCGAUAGCCAUGCAGUCCCGGUAUUCAUUUAUGGAUGCCGUGGCGGAAAGCUCAGUAACACGUAGUUAACAUUCCCUCGAGUCUGGCAUAAUCUCGGGAAACUGAGGCUAAUACCAGAUAGACAAGGGGUACUGGAAUGUCCCCUUAUCAAAAGUCCGCGCUCGAGGAUUGGACUGCGACGGAUUAGGUUGUUGCCAGGGUAACGUCCUAGCAAGCCGAUAAUCUGUACGAGCCUUGAGAGAGGAAGCUCGGAGAUGGAUUCUGAGACAAGAAUCCAGGUCCUACGGGACGCAGCAGGCGCGAAACUUUCCCAAUGCACGAAAGUGUGAGGAAGGGAUUUGGAGUGCUCUCCCUACUUUAGGGGGAGCUUUUGUGGAGUGUUGAAAGCUCCAAGAAUAAGUGGUGGGUAAGACGGGUGCCAGCCGCCGCGGUAAUACCAGCACCCCGAGUGGUCGGGACGAUUAUUGGGCCUAAAGCAUCCGUAGCCUGUUCUGCAAGUCCUCCGUUAAAUCCACCUGCUCAACAGAUGGGCCGCGGAGGAUACUACAGGGCUAGGAGGCGGGAGAGGCAAGCGGUACUCAGUGGGUAGGGGUAAAAUCCACUGAUCCACUGAAGACCACCAGUGGCGAAGGCGGCUUGCCAGAACGCGCUCGACGGUGAGGGAUGAAAGCUGGGGGAGCAAACCGGAUUAGAUACCCGGGUAGUCCCAGCUGUAAACGAUGCAGGCUAGGUGUUUGGACGGCCACGUGCCGUUCUAGUGCCGCAGGGAAGCUGUUAAGCCUGCCGCCUGGGGAGUACGAUCGCAAGAUUGAAACUUAAAGGAAUUGGCGGGGGAGCACCACAAGGGGCGAAGCUCGCGGUUUAAUUGGAGUCAACGCCGGG
rnacentral:rRNA from 1 species